GGGGUAGAAGGGGUGGGAUGGGAGAGAAAUAAAAGUUUUAAGGGAAAAUAAAAAGUUUUGGGGCUUGAGGUAGUAAAAUCUCGAGGGAAAAAUAAAUGAGGGGAGUAAAAUUAGGGGGGGAGAAUAUUCAAAAAAGAUUUUGUGGUAGAAGGGGGAGGGAUAGGGAUAGGAGGGGAAUAAAAGUUUUGGGGAGAAAAUGGGAGGGAGUAAAAGUUUUGGGAGAAAGUAUAGAGGUUUGAGAGUUUUGGGUAAAAUGUAAAAUAUUAUAGUUUAGUAUUUGGUUUAUUCGAAUUAUUCGAAUUCGAAAAACAAACUCGAUUGGAG
rnacentral:lncRNA from 1 species